UACGUAGGGUGCGAGCGUUGUCCGGAAUUAUUGGGCGUAAAGAGCGUGUAGGCGGCCAUGUAGGUCCGUUGUGAAAACUCGAGGCUCAACCUCGAGACGCCGAUGGAAACCAUGUGGCUAGAGUCCGGAAGAGGAGAGUGGAAUUCCUGGUGUAGCGGUGAAAUGCGCAGAUAUCAGGAAGAACACCCGUGGCGAAGGCGGCUCUCUGGGACGGUACUGACGCUGAGACGCGAAAGCGUGGGGAGCGAACAGG
rnacentral:rRNA from 1 species